CUUGAGCCUUGACACUUUUAUUCUGAGGUUCCAGCUAGCCCUAAGCAGGAAUUUCUGAGAUGGAUAUGUCUCAUUGAUCUUGGAUUUGAUCUGCAGCUAUAAGUUACAAAAGAGGGAGGUCUUACUGUGAAAUACAUCAGAAUAGCUCAAAACUUUCAGUAGGACAGCCAGGCGCGGUGGCUGAUGCCUGUAAUCCCAGCACUUUGGGAGGCCGAGGUGGGCGGAUCACGAGGCUAAAUAUCUGGAUAUCUUAAAUCUCAGAUGAGCGUCUUAGCCUCUGGAUUACUGCUCAAUGAGGAAAGCUAUGAAAUGCAUGGAUAACUUGCUAAUCAGUAUUUGCCAUAUGUGCUAGCAGCAUCAGCAUCAGUUGGGAGAUUAUGGUGGCCUCCAUGUCAGACCUCCUAAAUCGGAAUAUCAGAGAAGGUGGCCCAGGUUACCAUGCUUCAUCUGCCAAUGCAUUGAAAACUUGGAAUGUAAAUUAAUUCAACCAUUGUGGAAGAUGGUGUAGUGAUUCCUCAAAGACCUAGAAGCAGAAAUAUCAUUUGAUCCAGAAAUCCCAUUACUGUGUAUACACCCAAAGGAAUAUAAACCAUUCUAUUACAAAGAUACAUGCGUGCGUAUGUU
rnacentral:lncRNA from 1 species